CGUAAUAGCUCACUAGUCGAGUGACCCUGCGCCGAAAAUGUACCGGGGCUAAACAGAUUACCGAAGCUGUGGAUUGGACCAAUAGGUCCAGUGGUAGGAGAGCGUUCUAAGGACGGCGAAGCCUGAUCGUAAGGACAGGUGGAGUGCUUAGAAGUGAGAAUGCCGGUAUGAGUAGCGAAAGACGGGUUAGAAUCCCGUCCACCGAAUAACUAAGGUUUCCUGGGGCAGGCUCGUCCGCCCAGGGUUAGUCGGGACCUAAGCCGAGGCCGAAAGGCGUAGGCGAUGGAUAACAGGUUGAUAUUCCUGUACUGCUGUCAAUUGUUUGACUGAUGGAGGGACGCAGGAGGCUAAGAAAAGCACGCGAUUGGAAGUGCGUGUCCAAGCAACAAGUCUGGUAGGACGUUAAAGGCGGCCAACCGUUAGGGACAAGUUGUGAUGGGGAGGGAAAUUUAAGUACCGAAGUUUCUGAUGUCACACUGCCAAGAAAAGCUUCUAGGGAAAAAGACAGCACCCGUACCGCAAACCGACACAGGUAGUUGAGGAGAGAAUCCUCAGGUGAGCGAGCGAACUCUCGUUAAGGAACUCGGCAAAAUGACCCCGUAACUUCGGGAGAAGGGGUGCUGUAGAAAUACAGCCGCAGUGAAAAGAUCCAAGCAACUGUUUAUCAAAAACACAGCUCUCUGCUAAACCGCAAGGUGAUGUAUAGGGGGUGACGCCUGCCCGGUGCUGGAAGGUUAAGAGGAGGGGUUAGCUUAGGCGAAGCUCUGAAUUGAAGCCCCAGUAAACGGCGGCCGUAACUAUAACGGUCCUAAGGUAGCGAAAUUCCUUGUCGGGUAAGUUCCGACCCGCACGAAAGGCGUAACGAUUUGGGCACUGUCUCAACGAGAGACUCGGUGAAAUUAUAGUACCUGUGAAGAUGCAGGUUACCCGCGACAGGACGGAAAGACCCCAUGGAGCUUUACUGCAGUUUGAUAUUGAGUGUUUGUGUGACACGUACAGGAUAGGUAGGAGCCUAGGAAACCGGAACGCCAGUUUCGGUGGAGGCAGUGGUGGGAUACUACCCUUGUAACAUGACCACUCUAACCCGCAUCUCUGAUCGAGAUGGGAGACAGUGUCAGACGGGCAGUUUGACUGGGGCGGUCGCCUCCUAAAGAGUAACGGAGGCGCCCAAAGGUUCCCUCAGAAUGGUUGGAAAUCAUUCGCAGAGUGUAAAGGCAGAAGGGAGCUUGACUGCGAGACUUACAAGUCGAGCAGGGACGAAAGUCGGGCUUAGUGAUCCGGUGGUUCCGCAUGGAAGGGCCAUCGCUCAACGGAUAAAAGCUACCCUGGGGAUAACAGGCUUAUCUCCCCCAAGAGUUCACAUCGACGGGGAGGUUUGGCACCUCGAUGUCGGCUCAUCGCAUCCUGGGGCUGUAGUCGGUCCCAAGGGUUGGGCUGUUCGCCCAUUAAAGCGGUACGCGAGCUGGGUUCAGAACGUCGUGAGACAGUUCGGUCCCUAUCCGUCGCGGGCGUUGGAAAUUUGAGAGGAGCUGUCCUUAGUACGAGAGGACCGGGAUGGACAUACCUCUGGUGUACCAGUUGUCGUGCCAACGGCACAGCUGGGUAGCUAUGUAUGGUUGGGAUAAGCGCUGAAAGCAUCUAAGCGUGAAGCCCCCCUCAAGAUGAGAUUUCCCAUCUUUUUAAAAGAGUAAGAUCCCUGAGAGACGAUCAGGUAGAUAGGCUGGAAGUGGACAUUUAGUGAUAAAUGGAGCGGACCAGUACUAAUCGAUCGAGGACUUAUCCAA
rnacentral:rRNA from 1 species